GAGGUAUCCUUAUACGAAAGCUAGUCGGAGAUAGACGUAUACAUAGAGACUAGACGAAUAACAGUUCAGAAGUAAAGGCUAUCAUUCAGCGUUAUGCAUAGGAGUUAUGAGAUUGAUCACUGUUCGUUAUGUUCACCUUGCAUUGAGUCGAAAACAUGGUUUUCAUUUUCCCCAGCAACUCUCGAGUUCGAGAUUAAUGAGUGGAAAACAAACCAAGUGACCGCAGCACUAAUACUCUCCGCAUUAAAGACAAAUUUCAUGUACAUAACACGACUGAUAAAAAUUAGAAGGCUGUUUUCGACAACCUGGUUCAUAUUCACACAGAUAUUACUUGUGCUUAGAGUAGCUCUGACAGUUGUACUACCAGUUUGAUAAAUAACCCAACUGUAUUCUGUAUAAACACCUUAUUGAUAUUGUGACCGUUCAGUUUUACUUGAUAAAAGCUAUUCCGGAAAACUAUAUUAGUCUUUUAACAAAAUUUAGAUCGUCUGCUCACCAGCUUAAAAUAGAACAAGGUAUAUAUAAUGGUACAGCAAGACAAGAUCGAUUGUGUGAAUUUUGUAAUUCGAACGAAAUUGGGUAAGGAUAUCAUUUUAUAUUAAUAUGUCCAUUGUACAAAAAAAAAAAAAAAAAAA